rnacentral:rRNA from 1 species
AUGGCCCAAGCUUGGGCCUUCCUCCUCCCGGUGCUCGUCUUCGGCUCCUACGUGACCAGCCUCUUCUUCCCCAGCUAUAUAUCCGGCCCCCUCUGCGGCGGCGAUGGGGGAGGCAGAUCCUUGUUCCUCUGCGCGCAGGCUCCCAAGGACCAGGACCCAUCUCCUGCUGUCAGCACCAUGUACAAGACCGCCUUCCACUUCCAGCCCGCCAAGAACUGGAUGAACGAUCCAUCUGGACCAAUGUACUUCAAUGGCUUCUACCAUGAAUUCUACCAGUACAACCUGAACGGCCCCAUUUUUGGUGACAUAGUUUGGGGCCAUUCGGUUUCAACAGACCUCGUCAACUGGAUCGGGCUUGAACCCGCGUUAGUGCGGGAUACCCCAAGUGACAUAGACGGUUGCUGGACCGGCUCGGUCACCAUUCUGCCAGGUGGUAAACCAGUCAUCAUAUACACUGGUGGCGACAAAGAUCAACAUCAGGCACAAAACAUCGCGUUCCCCAAAAACCGGUCUGACCCAUACCUGAGGGAAUGGAUCAAAGCAGCCAAUAACCCGGUGCUCCGACCGGACGAACCAGGGAUGAACUCGAUCGAGUUCAGGGAUCCGACAACCGGUUGGAUCGGACCGGACGGACUGUGGAGGAUGGCAGUUGGUGGUGAGCUGAACGGCUACAGUGCUGCACUUUUGUACAAGAGUGAAGACUUUCUGAACUGGACAAAAGUUGAUCACCCACUGUAUUCACAUAAUGGAUCCAAUAUGUGGGAGUGUCCGGAUUUCUUUGCGGUAUUGCCGGGCAAUAAUGCUGGACUGGAUCUGUCCGCAGCGAUUCCACAAGGCGCCAAGCAUGCCCUCAAAAUGAGCGUGGAUUCAGUUGACAAGUACAUGAUCGGGGUGUAUGAUCUCCAACGUGAUGCCUUUGUGCCAGAUAAUGUCGUAGAUGACCGUCGGCUGUGGCUGAGAAUAGAUUAUGGCACUUUCUAUGCUUCAAAAUCAUUCUUUGACUCGAACAAGAACAGGAGGAUCAUAUGGGGUUGGUCUAGGGAGACAGAUAGUCCUUCAGAUGACCUUGAAAAAGGUUGGGCAGGACUCCAUACAAUCCCCAGGACCAUUUGGUUAGCCGACAAUGGCAAGCAGUUGUUACAAUGGCCAGUUGAGGAGAUUGAGUCCCUUCGAACAAAUGAAAUCAGCCAUCAAGGAAUAGAGCUCAACAAGGGAGAUCUAUUUGAGAUCAAGGAAGUUGACGCUUUUCAGGCUGAUGUAGAGAUAGGUUUCGAGCUGGCGUCCAUCGAUGACGCCGAUCCUUUUGAUCCUUCCUGGCUUUUGGACCCCGAGAAGCAUUGUGGGGAAGCGGGUGCAUCAGUUCCUGGUGGUAUAGGUCCAUUUGGACUUGUCAUUCUGGCCUCCGACAACAUGGACGAGCACACUGAGGUGUAUUUCAGAGUCUACAAGUCACAGGAAAAGUACAUGGUACUCAUGUGCUCUGAUCUAAGAAGGUCUUCCCUGAGACCAGAUCUGGAGAAACCAGCCUAUGGAGGCUUCUUUGAAUUUGAUCUUGAAAAGGAAAGGAAGAUAUCACUCAGAACUCUGAUUGACCGGUCGGCGGUGGAGAGCUUCGGCGGCGGUGGCAGGGUUUGCAUCACAUCCAGAGUUUAUCCGGCGGUGCUCGCCGACGUCGGCAGGGCCCACAUUUACGCUUUCAACAAUGGAAGUGCCACGGUCAGGGUGCCACAGCUCAGCGCAUGGACCAUGAGGAAGGCACAAGUGAAUGUGGAGAAGGGCUGGAGUGCUAUUUAA